UCGCCUGUUUACAAAAACAUGUCCUUUUGGGUUUUAUUUAAGGUCUGACCUGCCCUAUGAUUAAUUAAAUGGCCGCGGUAUUUUAACCGUGCAAAGGUAGCAUAGUCAUUUGUCUCUUAAUUGGAGGCUUGUAUGAAGGGUUGGACGAGAAAUAGACUUUCUUUUUUAUAUUUAGUUGAAUUUGAUUUUUAAGUUAAAAGGCUUAGAUUUAUUUAUAGGACGAGAAGACCCUAUAGAAUUUUAUAUUUUUAUACUAAUAAUUUAUUUUUAAAUAAUUUUAUUUUUUUUAUAAAAAUAUUUUGUUGGGGCGAUGGGGAGAUUUUUUUAACUCUUUUUAUUUUUAUUCAUUAAUAUAUGUUUGUUUUGAUCCUUUUUUAGAGAUUAAAAGAUUUAAUUACCUUAGGGAUAACAGCGUAAUUCUUUUGGAGAGUUCUUAUCGAUAAAAGAGUUUGCGACCUCGAUGUGGAUUAAAA
rnacentral:rRNA from 1 species